AUGAAAAUGACUUUUCCACAUGCUGGGCCUUCCCCCAUCCCCUCGCACACACUCACACUAUGCUCAGAAGCUUCCAGAAUCCCAAACCCGCCCCAAAGCUGCCACUUUGCAAAGGCUUCCUCUAAAGCCACAUCUGUCCCAGAGAGACCCCCGAAAGUGGAGGAAAGGGGUCGGCUGGCUGGAGUUGGGGCCCGGAGGCUGCCCAGAUCAGGAGGAAUGGGUCUCUUCACUUGAACCAGUUGGGGGUAAACUUCGUUUCCCGUCGUGACCCUGCCUGAUACAGCACCUUCUGCCCAGGCCACAAAACAAGCCAUGGCCAGCGGGAGGCCAAGGGACAAGAGAGAGAUUGCCAGAGGGCAGAAACACACAGGACAAAAUGGGGCAGAGAAGCAGAAACAGGGAGAGAUUAAAAAGGCAAAGGCUGGCCGGGCGCUGUGGCUCAUGCCUGUAAUCUCAACAUUUUGGGAGGCCUGAAGGAGGUGGAUCACUUGAGCCCAAGAGUUUGAGAUCAGCCUGGGCAACAUAGCAAGACCCCGUCUCUGCAAAAAAAAAUUAAAAAAUUUAGCUAGGCAUGAUGGUUCACCCCUCUGAUUGCCUGAUUGCUUAAGUUCCAGGCUGCAGUGAGCUGCGAUUGCACCAUUGUACUCUGGCCUGGGCAACAGAGCCAGAUCCUGUCUCUAAAAAUAAAUAAAUAGAUAAAUAUAUAAGACAAUGACCAUCAUCUUUCUUCAUAGCCAAGAACCCUCAGCUUCGAGAGAUGAACUUUAAGGACCUCCUCCUCCCCAGGAAGGGAGAUAUGGAGCUCAUUACAAACCAGAGCCCAGAGCCCCACUUUACACCUGCAGGUUCAGUAACUAGAGAAUCAGGGACCCAGAGUCUGCAUU
rnacentral:lncRNA from 1 species